UCCUAAGUCUGUGGCAAUAGAGGGUGAGGUAGGAUUAAAGAAGCAACGAAGAGAAGAUGCAAAAUUGUGAGAAUAUAAAAACACAAAUUUCCUUCUUCAUUUGAAGGGUUUGAGCUAACAUUGAGUAAAGAAGAGACAAUUUUCAAGAAAACCAAACUCGGUCCUCCACUGUAUCGCUUCAAGGGAGCUCAAUUCCUAUCCAGUUCGGAUACGGCCUGAAACUGUCUUCAAUGAAAUUGGAGCUAUAGAUACACAGAGCUAUGUGCCCUGCGCUCUCUCCUUCAGU